rnacentral:rRNA from 1 species
AUACGAAGGGGGCUAGCGUUGUUCGGAAUCACUGGGCGUAAAGCGCACGUAGGCGGAUUUGCCAGUCAGGGGUGAAAUCCCGGGGCUCAACCUCGGAACUGCCUUUGAUACAGCAAGUCUAGAGUCCGGAAGAGGUGAGUGGAAUUCCUAGUGUAGAGGUGAAAUUCGUAGAUAUUAGGAGGAACACCAGUGGCGAAGGCGGCUCACUGGUCCGGCACUGACGCUGAGGUGCGAAAGCGUGGGGAGCAAGCAGGAUUAGAUACCCUGGUAGUCCACGCCGUAAACGAUGGAUGCUAGCCGUUGGCAAGCUUGCUUGUCGGUGGCGCAGCUAACGCAUUAAGCAUCCCGCCUGGGGAGUACGGCCGCAAGGUUAAA